rnacentral:rRNA from 1 species
UUGUCCUUAGUUACCAGCACGUUAUGGUGGGCGACUCUAAGGAGACUGCCGGUGACAAACCGGAGGAAGGUGGGGAUGACGUCAAGUCAUCAUGGCCCUUACGGCCUGGGCUACACACGUGCUACAAUGGUCGGUACAAGGGUUGCCAAGCCGCGAGGUGGAGCUAAUCCCAUAAAACCGAUCGUAGUCCGGAUCGCAGUCUGCAACUCGACUGCGUGAAGUCGGAAUCGCUAGUAAUCGUGAAUCAGAAUGUCACGGUGAAUACGUUCCCGGGCCUU